rnacentral:rRNA from 1 species
AAUGAACGUUGGCGGCAUGGAUUAGGCAUGCAAGUCGAGCGAGAAGUGUUUUUUGCUUGCAUUAAACACGGACAGCGGCGCAAGGGAGAGUAACGCGUAGAAAUGUACCCCGAGGUCUGGGAUAGCUGCGGGAAACUGCAGGUAAUACCGGAUAAUGUCUCCGGACCAAAGUUUUUCGCCUUGGGAGCAGUCUGCGUACUAUUAGCUUGUUGGUGGGGUAAAAGCCUACCAAGGCUUAGAUGGUUAGCGGGCGUGAGAGCGUGGCCCGUCUCACUGGGACUGAGACACUGCCCAGACACCUACGGGUGGCUGCAGUCGAGAAUCUUCCGCAAUGGGCGAAAGCCUGACGGAGCAAUGCCGCGUGGUGGAUGAAGGCCUUCGGGUUGUAAACACCUGUCAGUAGGGAGGAAAUUUUGACCGAUCUACAGAGGAAGUCCGGGCUAAGUACG